GCUCUAGCUUAAGUAGUACAGAGUACAGAAAUGGAUUAUAUUUUAACUAUAACUUUGUUGCUCUAUGGGGCGGGUUUUCUCCCAGUUACGUGUUCAACAAUCAAACAGGCACAGCCAGGACAUACUGUAACUAUAUGGUGUCAACACACAUUAAGAGUUUCUGGAUACCUGUACUGGUUUAAACAAAAUGAUGGUGCUGUACCUAUGGCUAUUGUGUCCAUGUUGUACACUGAAAGUCUUCAUAGCGCAGAGCCACGUUAUUUCAACAAUUUCACAAAAGACCACCUGGUCAUGAAUCAGUUCAGCAAAAGUACCACUCUAACAAUAAUGCAUGUGAGUAUUUCUGAUUCUGGCUUCUACUUUUGUGGAGCUACAGAUUACCAAGUACAUUUUGGCAGUGGAACACAGCUUGAAGUUAAAGAAAAGAAAGUCAUAUUAGUGAAUAAUGACACAGGAAUCUCAAAAAAAGGCAACACAAAAGACAGAAGCAGAAAAAAGUCACUGAAUGUCAAGAACAACAAAUUGAUGGCAAGGAGCCUGAUUCAGUUGAAUAUGCUGCAGUACAUUUCUCAAAAAUGAAACCCAAGACAACAGGAAGACAUACUGAGGAUACAAUAGUUGUGUACACGGACA